rnacentral:miRNA from 1 species
UCCCCUGCUCCCUUGUUCCCCAG